rnacentral:lncRNA from 1 species
UUUAUUCGUACUGAUGUCCUUUUAUUUGUGGAUGCUGCAUGUCGUGCUGCACGUCCUGAUAGAUAGGCAAGUGUAGCUCCCCCACCACAGUUGGAUGUCCAAUUCAUCAGUGAUUAGCGAUAUCCCUUCUGCCGUGGUCUUGGUAUGCAUUUUUAUUAUAGAUAUUAUGGGUAGGUCAGGGCCUUGUUCAAGUAAUGUUGCAGAAUUUAUGUUCCAUUAGAGGCUCAUAGACAUGUGUCGACUCAUGUAUAGUUUGGUAGCUUUGUCGGUUGAUUUUUGUUGUAUAGUCUUUCAUGGUAGCGUGGUAGCUUAUACUGUAUUUAUAGUUUCUUGGUUGUCUGGUCAUCCCAGUUAUGUAUGUUCAUGCCAUCAUCUUUUAUUGUUAGUUGUCCAUGAUCCAUGUCUACCAAUUAUAUUGAUCUCAUCGGCCCUAAAAGAUAAUAAAGAAGGUUAGAUAAAAUGUAUGUUGGUGCUCGGCAUAUAUGGCCGGGUGCUAGUCAUGGCCCUCAAGUUUUGGUCGUGACAAAGUUGGUAUCAUCGAGCUGUAAUCGACCCUUAAAUUCCUUGAGUUUCUGGCCGGCAAUUGUGGCACUUUUGGUCGUUGAGACCUUUUAGUAUGUGGCCCGGAGGCUUGCACAGUUAACUAUUUUGGAUCAAAUCUCCGAAUCGGGUUACGAUUUGAGCUCAUUUUAAUCCUUAAGUUGUCAAGAUUUUAUAGCUGGCGACAAUGGCUAUUACGCUAUAUUCGUCGUAGAGACCUUUCAGUAUGAGACACGUAGGCUUUCUUAGCUGGCGACGUUGGCUCUUACGCUAUUUUUUCCCAUGGGCUUUUUGUAGGCUUUAUAUCUUCUCGUUAAAGCUCUUUUCAUAGUAUUUUUGCCUGACCCGUUGUCGAUUCCAAAGGAACCUCGAUUUCAAGUAGUGGUUGGUGAUGUUUCAAGAACCUUGUUAAGGUUCAUAGCUUGUAGGUCGAGUAGAUCGACGCUCUUGCAUUUUUGAGCCGACAUUGUCGGAGCUCGUUUUUGCUUGUUGAGGGAAGCCUGCUUUAACAAUUUUUUCCGAAGUAUAUUAAGAGUGGUGGCCUGCGAUUAAUUAGCGUCAAUCGAGUGUCCCCGAGUCGCAUUAUUUUGGUUGUAUUUUCCAAUUUUACCGUAGUCAUAUGCAUUUGGGCGUAGCCAAUUUUGAACCCUAGUGAUAGUUUAGGCGUCUACAUCAAAGGUAUGCCCUUUAGGGAUUCUUAAAUUGCGAUAUAUAGCCAAAACUUCGGGAUUUUUCAUGCAUGUUGAGGUCUUAUAGCUUGUCAUGCUUUUUGAGGUCUUACUGUUUUUCAUGCCUAUUGAGUUCUUAUAGCUCGUAGAAUAGAUCUGGUUAUGCCGAGGUUGCCCGCUAGGAUCUUAUAGUUUCGGAUUUUCCUGUCAUGGUGAUAACUAGGGAUUUUGACGUGUUUUAUGCUCCUUCUUUAUUAUGUUUUAUUUAUAAAUUCUUACAAAAUAGUCCUAAAAGACUCAUAAGUUGUGCAUGAUUGCAGGUUUGACCAACAAAGUGAUGAAAUGUCAAAUAUCAGCUCAGAAGGAGUGAAGCCUGCUCAAGUACCAAAGACAAGGCAAAACUUAGGAGAACAGGCCUAGUGCAUCCGCACUACUCUUUGUGCGGUCUGCACUAGAGAGAUUCAGAGAAUGGGAAAUUAAGGCUUCAAGCAACACGACUGCACUCCAUUAUGUGCACUCCGUGGUGAAGGCUCUGCGGCUGCACUACCAUUAUGUGCGGUUCGCUGAAGAGAAACUUACAGAGAUGUUAAUUGCUAAGGGUCAAGCUAGCACAGCCGCGGUCAUGAUUGUGUGAUCCGUGCUGGAAGCCUCCGCGGCCGCGGUCCAUUCUCAGUGGUCCGCGGAACCUGAGUUCAGAGAGCCAAGAUUUCAAGUUCAAGAGCCUACUGCGGUCGCAGUCCAUUUUGUGCGGCCCGCUCUGAUUCCGUUGGGGCAUUUUUGUCUAGUUUUUCCAUUUUAGUAUAAAUAGAAACUUUUUCCAUUUUUAGGGAAUCAGUUAUUUCCGG